UACGGAGGGUGCAAGCGCUAUCCGGAUUCACUGGGUUUAAAGGGUGCGUAGGUGGGCAGGUAAGUCAGUGGUGAAAUCUCUGGGCUUAACUCAGAAACUGCCAUUGAUACUAUCUGUCUUGAAUACCGUGGAGGUCAGCGGAAUAUGUCAUGUAGCGGUGAAAUGCUUAGAUAUGACAUAGAACACCGAUUGCGAAGGCAGCUGGCUACACGAAUAUUGACACUGAUGCACGAAAGCGUGGGGAGCAAACAGG
rnacentral:rRNA from 1 species